rnacentral:lncRNA from 1 species
ACAGCCCAAUAAAGACUCGGACACCAAAACCCUUUAAAUUCGACUUUUUUAUUUCAUUGCAGAAGAAAAUCCAACGUAGGCCUCAUUACGUUAUGCAUCUUUAAUUAUAAAAAUAAGCAAAGAAAAUAACUUGCCUCUCUCUCCUCGCUAUGAUAUGUUUCAAAUAACCUUUAUAUGAACACACGGAGCUUUACAAAUGUCAUGGAAACAAUAAAUAAGGACAUAUACCAGAUAUGCUCACUGUUUAUUCCAGUACUCAGCAAAAAAACCCAAAAAAACCCAAAGAAAACAAACCCCACAACCCCCCAACUCUCUCCCUUUUCCCUUUUCUAGGUCUCUUUAAAUUAUAAAUACAAAUAAUGCAAAUUUAUAAUGGCACAACAACGUCUAAAGUGCAAACAAACCACGAGACUCAUGCAAACCUUCCCAGAGAAGCCCCUCCCUGCCCCGAGAGAAAAUCCUUCCGCGAGACCCAAAAAACGAAGCGGAGAUGAACCCCGGGGUGAAAUCGCUGGACAUGAGGGUGGCGAUCAUUCCCCACCCCGAGGGACCUCUCCCACCCAAAUCCCAACUUUUCCAUCGUUCCCCAGGGAUGGGAGCCCCCAGAUCGUGGCACUCCCAGAUCCUGGCACUCCCAGAUCCCGGCACUCCCAGAUCCUGGCAGCCCCAGAUCCUGGCAGCCCCAGAUCCUGGCACCCCCAGAUCCUGGCACUCCCAGAUCCUGGCAGCCCCAGAUCCUGGCAGCCCAGAUCCUGGCACUCUCAGAUCCUGGCACCCCCUGAUCCUGGCAGCCCAAAUCCCGGCACUCCUGGCCCUAGGGAUGGGAUCUGCCAUCCCAAAUUCCUCCCUGCUCCAGCACAGCAGCCUCAAAGCAGCUCAAAAUUUGGGAAUUGCGGCUCUUUGGGACACGGAGGGCACAGGAGGAGCUCCCUGGGCUGCCACAGCAAACCCUGCCCGGGGAAUCGUCUCCCUGCUCCUCUUCCCUCCCUCACUCAGGAGACAAAGCUGGAAUCGCUGCUGGAAAGGGAAAUUUCAUUAUGGCACCCAAAAAAAAAGAUGGGAAUGGGAAGCCCAAGGCGCCUCCGCGGCCCCAAAUCUGCUUUAGGAGCCUUUUUGGGGUUGCAGAGAAAUGGGUGGGUGGAGAAGCUGCUUCCCAUGAGGAAUGUCCCUGGCCAGGCAUCCUCGGAAAGCUCCCGGGAGCUUUGGGAUCCCACAGUGGGAGCUCUGGAGCAUUGGCAGAGCCUCCCUGGUGGGCUCCGACCACUGCCCCGAGGCAGGGAAAGACUUUUUGUGUCCAAUUCCCAAAUAAAUCAUGGAGUGGGUGCACAGAGCCCGGCGGAAUUCCCUGGCUCCCAACAGCCGCAGGGUGGGAAGUCAGGGAUGUGCUCCUGGGAUCAAUUCCUAAAUAUAAUCCCAAUUUUUGGGUCGGGAUAUUCCAGAAACUUUUGGCUUUCACCUCUCAGAACGUCUUUGUGUCGGCCUCUCAAUCCCUGCCUGAUUCGGGAAGGAGAAACUUUGCAUCUUCCUUGCCCUGCCUGGCUCUGUUCGGAGUAUCCCAAAAAAAUUACGAAUUCUGACCCUCCACCGAUGUCAGCAACAUUUUUUUGCUGCUUCCAAUUCUCUGCCAGCACUUCUGGGCUACAUUUUGUGAAGACAGCGACAUCUGAAACGUUGCCACUGCAUCUGGUUUUGAUAUUUUAGCAGCAAGUUCUGGUUUAAAGGCUUUGUGGUUUCCCGAACAACACAAAAAAAAUCAAAUUAUAUUGCUUCAGGUUUCCAUAAGAAAUAGAGAUUCCCUCCUUCAUCAGCUCUGAGGCAGAGCCUCCCACUCUGCAGGGACCCCAAGGCAUGGAUUUGGGAUUGGCCUGGUGGAUCCCACACCACCAAGGGGAUUUUUGGGCUCACCAGGGCCUGGCUGUGGUGGGGAGCGGCUUUGGGGUCUCUCAGCUCUGCUCCUCUUCCCAGAACCCGCUGAGGAGGAGGAGGAGGAGGAGGAAAGGCAGCUCCCAGAGCCUUCAUUGUGUCCUCAGUUUUCCUGCUGGAGCUUCAGAGAAUGAUGGAUUUUCCCAGCCUUUCCCCAGAAAUCCCGUCGGGAGUUUUGCCCGGUGAGAUUCCCAACGGAUCUGACAAUUCCGGAAUUCCCAGCAGCUCUGCCUUGGCUCCAAGUGCAUUGCCUGGCAGCCCUGUGGGGGCAGGACUGACCGGCCUGAACUUGGCUUUUUAUGGAUUUUGCCUCAAUUUUAGCUCUGAAAGGCUCUUCCUGGUCCUGCGAUUCCCAUCCCAAACUUUUCCCCUCUUCCUUUGUUAAAAGGCCACAGAGUGGAAUGUGAACUCCUGACUAUGACAGAGGUGCUGCUUCCAGGAAAAAGAAAGCAAUAAUAAUAACAAUAACAAUAAUAAUAAUAAUAAAGAAAAAGCUGACUUACA